AUUGACGUCCAUGAAUUUUUUUAUUUUUGACCUUAAGUAUAAAUUUUCCCAUCUACUUGAUUUGUUGCUUCUCUUUUUCUUUGUGAGGUUCGUGGACAUGCGGUCUUUCAUUUCUAGCUACGGUCAUGCUUAACUUCAUAUCAUGAGUAGCUAAUUUUUUGAAUGUCUUAGGCUUUAUGUCUUGCAAGAUGUAGUGGAUCCUAGUGUACACCUUUAAUGUAUAUCUAUAUUCCCUAAAUUUCACUAAGUUUAUCUUUACAGUUUAGACUUGCAUGCUUCCAUCGAUUGAUGAAGUCAAUAACUCGUUUUUUCUUCUGUUGAAGAAUUUUUAUAAGAUCUACCAUGAUUACGGUAUGUCUUCUAGUGUAGAAGCGGUUGAAAUAUUAUUGUUCCAGUUGCUCCCAAUCAGUAGAACCAGACUCAAGGUGUUCCAGCGUUGCUGCAUGUUUCGAUGAAAUAUGCCAUAUAUUGCUUCGAAUUUCCGUUACCGUCAAACUAUGGAAAUUUUGGGGUUGAUAAUUGGCGGACAUCUUCAACCUAUCAAUCCUUACAAUGUACUAUGAUUUUGCAGAAUUAACUAAUAGAGGAUUUUGCAAGAACCUCGUACUUAUCCUUGAUAGCUCGCGCGAUGAGCUCCUUUAGUUGAUCAAUUAGAAUCAUCCUUUUAGAGAUACUUGGAUUUCCUUAGUAGGUGCCACUUGUUUUGCAGAAGAAUUAAUCGUCUUUUUCUACUUUUGUACGCUUCCCAGAUGCAUGGCUGAAUUCUUUAGGCCUUACAUAAUAUCUGUUAACUUUCCAGUUCAAGUGUUUUGAUCUUGCACAUAUUUGGUCAAGCCUUCAACUGCUCUUGUCAAGCUCUUGUCAAGCUUUGGAGGAAGUAGAUCUAAUGCUCCAGACAUCAUCAUUGGCUUCCACGAAUUGUUCUUUUGGACGUUGAUAAGCUAAGUUAGGAAAGAACCUUCUCGGCCAUUUUGGCCAUGUUGUUCCCUUCUUUUGUCGUGCUUGCGGGGGAUAUCAUUCCUUUUGAAGAUGAUGAAAUUCAGACUACACCUGGGAAGUUUUGUUGUCCUAGAAAUUUGGCUUAGUUCCCUGUGACUAGACCCACGCUUUCCUUAGUGACGACUAGGAUGUUUCCCACAACAAUGGAGAAUAUAGAUACAGCAGCCUUUGCGGAAGUGAAUUUAGUUGACCUUCUUGGUAACAUCUUAGUGUCUUGAACUUUGAUUGUUGGAGAGAAUAGAUGAGAUAAAGACAGUCCCAUUGGGCGUGCCAAAAUUUGUAACACCAAAUUUUGUUGUGAAAAAUAUUAAGAUAAGAAAAAUAGUUAUAAAUAAUAGCACAUUUGUUCAA